rnacentral:lncRNA from 9 species
GAAAGAAAAAGAUUUGGUGGUCAUACCCUAGGUCUCAGCUGCGUGAGCUGGAGAAAGCCACUUAACCUCUCUGGGCUUCAGUUUCCUCACCUAUAAAAUGGAGAUCCUCCCUUCUACAGCUGUCCUGAGCAUGGAACUAAGUGACGGUAAGUUUCCUCCUCCACUUAGAAUCCCACCCCCUCCCCCAAUUCUUUGCAGGAUAACUCCGGCAGAAAGCCUGGUCUCUCCAGCCCUCUCUGUAAGCAUGAGGAGCCACACAUUCCAUCUCUACCUGUGUCCAGAAAGAGCCCUCACCCAGGUCCUUAGCCUGGAGUUCAAGGACCUGCACCGGUAAUUCUACAGAAAGCCUCAGAGCAGCAGGAAGCACAGAGUGGAGGAUCCAGCAGGGAAAGCCUCUUCCUUCACCAGAGGACUUAGCCAACCUCAGGUCAGGCAACACUCUGUAUCCUCCAGUCUCUCCUGGAGGCCCUCUGCCCUUCGACCUGCUAGUGAUGGGUACAGAUUGCUUGUGUGCACACUUGAGAGAAUUAGGUACUUAGCGCCUGCGGUUCUUCACUGGCUCUGGCUCCCCCGCGAGUAGACCACAGGAACUGCAGUCGAGCCAAACCGGCUCCGCCCACUCCCGGCAGAGUUCCGGGAGGAGGAGCAACUUCGACAAACUCCUCCGCCAAUCGCUCUAUAAUGCACUUGUGGGCCUCCUCCGCUGCGGUGUACUCGGCGUAAUCGCAUGCGCUGGGUUUCCCUCAAGUAACUUUCCUUGCUGACGACAGAGUUGCUCUCUAAAGUUGGGGUGUCCCAGUAGACGCUGGCCCGAAAGCCGUUCUCGGGCCUCAUCGGCGGCUGCAGCCCCAUCCGAAAUGCAGCACUGGGUGAGACACCCCGUGCUCUGGAGACCGCAGAGCUCGCCCUUGGAGAAGAACCGCUGGAUUUCACUUUGAACUCUCUCCUGCUUGCGGUGCGUCUCUGGGCGAGUCAUAACCUCUCUGAACUUCACUUAUCUCCUCUGUAAAAUGGAGCUUAGAUAUGCUAGCACUUGCAUCGUAGGGUUGUGAGAAGACUCAAUGGAACAGUCCAAGGGGCACGAGGAGAGCAAGAUAACAAUUACCAUUCACUGUGUGCCCCUGGGGGGAUUGCUCUAGGCAUUUUCAAAUGACCCUCUGAAAAGGUCUCCUCCACAGAAGAAGAAAUUGAAGGAAGAAAUUGAGAUGUAGUGAUUUUCCCAGACGCAGAGCUGGGACUCACUCCAGUAGACCUGCGUACACAGUGCCAGGAAGUGUGGGUGGGAGUCUAAGGUUCGUGAGUUUAGGGGACGCUCAGACACCUGAAAAAUAUCCAUCCCUUUCUCCCUUUGGUCGUUAAUCAGAAUUUCUUCCUCUGACGGAUUGUUCAUCCCUUCUUAAUAUAAUGCUUUUGUGGGCAGAGACCUAAAAGAUCAUCCAUGCGUAUUUCCUUAUGAAGAGAGAGAGAGACUUGUGUAGGGUCACAGGGCUGGACGGUUUAGAACUGGACUGGAGCUCAGUUCUGUGCCUGUGCUCCUGCUCCUCCACCCACCCUUCUGCCGUGGGGGAGCAAUGUUAGCAUGCUCCUUCCCACUGGCAAUCAAACAGCACACUUAGUGCAGGGUCCUCUCCAGGGGCUGCACACUGGUGACUCCUGACCCCACUUGCCCAGGACCUUCUAUCACUCUCUUCCUCCCUUUUCCAGACACUCCCACCCUCUCCACCCUCACAGGGCUAAUUCUCCAAGUAGAGAGGAAACCAGUGCAACCUCUGGCUACCAAGUACUGGCACAAGAUAACCAAUAAUUUACCACUGUGUGUGCUUAUGUGCAUGUGUGUGCAUCUUUUUUCUUUUAUUAGAAAGGGGCUAACAUAAUAUAAAUAGCAAGUCAUUGCCAGUGGCAUCUUUGGGUAGAUGAAUUGUGGGUAUUUUUUUCCCUUGUCUGUAUUUUUUUUUCCUUUGGCUAUGCCCACAGCAUACCAAAGUUCCUGGGCCAGGGAUCGAACCCUAGCCCCAGCAGUAACCCUAGCCAUGGCAGUAAAAACACUGAGUCCUUAACUACUAGGUUACCAUCCUUGUCUGCAUUUUAAAUUUUCUCUAGCGAUGAACAAACAUUAUUAAGAUAAGAAAUAAGUCUUAUUUAAAAGUUGUUUUAAAAUUCUCUUAAGGGGUGUUCCCUUUUUGGCUCAGCAGGUUAUGAACCCAGCUAGUAUCCAUAAGGAUGUGGAUUAGAUCCCUGACCUUGCUCAGUGGGUUAAGGAUCUCAAGUUGCCAUGAGCUGUGGUGUAGGUUGCAGAUGUGGCUCAGAUCCCUCAUUGCUGUGGCUGUGAUGUAGGCUAGCAACUGCAGUUCCAAUUUGACCCCUAGCCUGGGAACGUCCAUAUGCCUCGGGUGCGG